rnacentral:rRNA from 1 species
CAGUAGCCGCGGGAAUACGUAGGUGGCAAGCGUUAUCCGGAAUUAUUGGGCGUAAAGCGCGCGUAGGCGGUUUUUUAAGUCUGAUGUGAAAGCCCACGGCUCAACCGUGGAGGGUCAUUGGAAACUGGAAAACUUGAGCGCAGAAGAGGAAAGUGGAAUUCCAUGUGUAGCGGUGAAAUGCGCAGAGAUAUGGAGGAACACCAGUGGCGAAGGCGACUCUCUGGUCUGUAACUGACGCUGAGGAGCGAAAGCGUGGGGAGCGAACAGGAUUAGAUACCCCAGUAGUCCCUGUCUCUUAUAC